rnacentral:rRNA from 1 species
AUACGGAGGAUGCAAGCGUUAUCCGGAUUUAUUGGGUUUAAAGGGUGCGUAGGCGGUUUGCUAAGCGGGAGGUGAAAUGCCGGCGCUCAACGUCGGAAGUGCCUCCCGAACUGGUGGACUGGAAUGACUCUGCCGUGGGAGGAAUGUGUAGUGUAGCGGUGAAAUGCUUAGAGAUUACACAGAACACCGAUUGCGAAGGCAUCUCACGAAGGGUUGAUUGACGCUGAGGCACGAAAGCGUGGGGAUCAAACAGGAUUAGAUACCCUGGUAGUCCACGCAGUAAACGAUGAUGGCUAACCGCUGGUUUUUUCGGAUCAGUGGCCAAGCGAAAGCGAUAAGCCAUCCACCUGGGGAGUACGACCGCAAGGUUGAAACUCAAAUGAAUUGGCGGGG